AUGGGGGACGUGUCCACGAUUCAACGCCCGCCCGGCACUGCCGCCAAGCAGGGUGAUCAGGUUGGAGAGCUGGUGUCGGCCGGAUGGACCAACGACACCCACAACAUGUACAUCAGCUCCAUGGAGGCGUCCUUCAUGCAGCAACUCCGUGGCCAGCAGCAGCAGCACCACCACGCCGCUCCCGACAGGAACAUCACCCAUGUGGGUCUUGUUGGCCAUGGGCUCAAGCCAUACCAAGAAGGAGCCUCCGAUAACCUCGGUUCUGAGAAGAACGUGCCUCGCCCGCGUGAUGUGGGUGCACGAGGCCUGCCCGAGGAUCCGUGGGCGAGGCGCUUCAAGCCACGCGAUUCUGCUAUGAAUCGUCGUGGCGAUGGGGUUGGUGCUUCCGAUGGUGAAUCGGGCACCGAUACGGUUCAAGGGAUGGCUCCGAAGCAUGGAAGAGAAGUGAUCAGUUGCGUCGGAGGAAAUCCUGUUGACAAAACCUCAGAAGUCUGUGGUCAGAACUUUCCUGAAGACGAGGUUCAUUCCGCUGCUCAGCCAAGCAAAUCGUGCAAGAAAAGGAGGCCUGCCUCUUCCACUGCUGCAGGUUCUUUCAUCUCGAUGCUCGGCGACAAGCGGUGGUGA
rnacentral:rRNA from 1 species